rnacentral:rRNA from 1 species
GUGGGGAAUAUUGGACAAUGGGCGCAAGCCUGAUCCAGCCAUGCCGCGUGAGUGAUGAAGGCCUUAGGGUUGUAAAGCUCUUUUGUCCGGGAAGAUAAUGACUGUACCGGAAGAAUAAGCCCCGGCUAACUUCGUGCCAGCAGCCGCGGUAAUACGAAGGGGGCUAGCGUUGUUCGGAAUCACUGGGCGUAAAGCGCACGUAGGCGGACCAUUAAGUCAGGGGUGAAAGCCUGGAGCUCAACUCCAGAACUGCCUUUGAUACUGAUGGUCUCGAGUAUGGAAGAGGUUGGUGGAACUGCGAGUGUAGAGGUGAAAUUCGUAGAUAUUCGCAAGAACACCGGUGGCGAAGGCGGCCAACUGGUCCAUUACUGACGCUGAGGUGCGAAAGCGUGGGGAGCAAACAGGAUUAGAAACCCGAGUAGUCC